AAACGGGCUAGUCCACGGACCGAUGUGUAAUGGCGUCGGAUGACAAAUUGCGUCAGGACAGCACGCAAUCUGCGGGCGAUUCGGUGAUUUGAGGGAUGCCCCCACGUGACCCUACCCACGGUAGUCUACGUAGUCGACAUGCCGGAUGCCCUCCGGGGUCAUGUGCCGACAUCCAUGGUGGAUCGGAGGAUGCUAGCGAGCGCGAGACCUGACAGGCACGUCGGUAAAAUGGGCACAGCUCACGGGCACGGGGAUCCACAACCUCCACACACUCCCCCCCUCUCUUCCUCGUUCGCGGGCUGGGCCCCACUUCCCCUCCACGCCGUACGCGGACACGACGCUUCCGUCGCAACCCCCACACCUUUCCGUCCCGCCGGCCCAUCGCCCGCCGCCUCCCUGCGCACCCAGCCGAGGAGACCGCCAUGAUGGCGGGCGCCUCAGGCUCAGUCGAAGAGGAGGGAGGACUGAGGGCGGAGGAGUCCCCGUCCGGCGGCGUCGACGUCUGGAGCGACGCCGUCUCCUCCCACGCCCCGGAACACCUCCUCGUCAUGGUCCACGGCAUCCUCGGCAGUACCAAUGACUGGCAAUACGCAGCCAACGAAUUUGUGAAGCAGCUUCCUGAUGAUGUAAUUGUGCAUUGCAGUGAGAAAAACAUGAACACAUUGACUCUAGACGGUGUCGAUGUUAUGGGAGAACGCUUAGCAGAUGAGGUUCUUGAUGUAAUUAGUCGAAAGCCAGAGCUCACCAAAAUUUCUUUUCUUGCACACUCCGUUGGAGGCUUAGUAGCAAGAUAUGCAAUUGCAAAACUUUAUAGACAUCCAAAUAGCACGUUUGACAGCAAAGCUGAAGGAACCAUAUGCGGGUUGGAAGCGGUGAACUUUAUAACCGUAGCAACGCCUCACCUUGGUUCUCGAGGAAACAAGCAGGUUCCACUCCUCUUUGGAUUCAUUACGAUUGAGAAGGUUGCUUCUCGUGUCAUCCAUUGGAUAUUUAGGAGAACUGGGAGACAUCUUUUUCUUACUGAUAGUGCUGAGGGAGAACCGCCACUGUUGCAGCGUAUGGUUGAAGAUUAUGGCAAUCUUUACUUUAUAUCUGCUUUGCGAGCAUUUAAACGACGAGUGGCAUAUGCUAAUGCUGGUUGCGACCACAUUGUUGGCUGGAGAACAUCAUCUAUUAGAAGAAACACCGAGCUGCCUAAGUGGGAGGAAUCUGUAUGUGAGAAGUAUCCUCACAUUGUACAUGAGGAAUACUCUGAAGAAAUCAGCGAUGAGAAGUGUCAAGAUUUGGCAGCAGAUUGCGAUUUUGACUUACUGGAAGGUAUGUGUCCGUAAACCUGGUUUGUUGACUCUAUAAUGUGGAAGUUAAGACUUGGAAGGUUAGUCACAACUAAUUGGCAAGCAAGUUAUCUGUUCACAGUUCAUUGUUGGUAUUCAACAGUCAACAUUCAACUUGAUGACUGCAAUCUUGGUGGGGCACUAAAUAGAAAAAAUGGUGACAGGGCUGAGACGCGUUUCAUGGGAAAAGGUAGAUGUUAGCUUCCACACGAGCAUGCGGAGUUUCGCAGCGCACAGCAUUAUCCAGGUCAAGUAUGCGUUUAUGAACGAAGGAGCGGACGUCAUACAGCACAUUAUAGACCACUUCCAGCUCUGAGAAUUUCCUUGGCAAUGCCACUAGCAAUGCAACCUGAAGCUCCAGACUGAAGAGGCUGUCCUACCUCUACUUACACACAUUAGUGACUCGAGAAGAAAACCGCAGUCAGCCCACAGCCACAGGGGAGGCCCGGUAGUAUCAAGUUAGAUCUAGAUUGUUAAUUUAUUGCUUAACGGUGUGUAACAGUGCGUUGUAAUGACUGUAUAUAAGAGUAAGUGCCACGAAUUGCUCCGUGCCGUCCGUUGCAAAGAAAGAUCACGUCGGAACGGAGAAAACAACACCAUCCUUGUUGGACACAUGUAUCGUUAUUAUGUGCCUUGUCACCAAUCUCACAUGUGACACUA